AGUGGGAUUGCUUGGUCUUAUGGUAAGCAUAUAUUUAACUUUGUAAGAUAUUGCCAAAGUAUUUUCCAAUGUGGCUGUAUCAUUUUGUUUUCCCACCAACAAC
rnacentral:pre_miRNA from 1 species